rnacentral:rRNA from 1 species
GAUGAACGCUGGCGGCGUGCCUAAUACAUGCAAGUCGAGCGAACGGACGAGAAGCUUGCUUCUCUGAUGUUAGCGGCGGACGGGUGAGUAACACGUGGAUAACCUACCUAUAAGACUGGGAUAACUUCGGGAAACCGGAGCUAAUACCGGAUGAUAUUUUGAACCGCAUGGUUCAAAAGUGAAAGACGGUCUUGCUGUCACUUAUAGAUGGAUCAGCGCUGCAUUAGCUAGUUGGUAAGGUAACGGCUUACCAAGGCAACGAUGCAUAGCCGACCUGAGAGGGUGAUCGGCCACACUGGAACUGAGACACGGUCCAGACUCCUACGGGAGGCAGCAGUAGGGAAUCUUCCGCAAUGGGCGAAAGCCUGACGGAGCACCGCCGCGUGAGUGAUGAAGGUCUUCGGAUCGUAAAACUCUGUUAUUAGGGAAGAACAUAUGUGUAAGUAACUGUGCACAUCUUGACGGUACCUAAUCAGAAAGCCACGGCUAACUACGUG